rnacentral:rRNA from 1 species
UACGAAGGGGGCUAGCGUUGCUCGGAAUCACUGGGCGUAAAGGGCGCGUAGGCGGCCAUUCAAGUCGGAGGUGAAAGCCCAGGGCUCAACCCUGGAAUUGCCUUCGAUACUGUUUGGCUAGAGACCGGAAGAGGUCGGCGGAACUGCGAGUGUAGAGGUGAAAUUCGUAGAUAUUCGCAAGAACACCAGUGGCGAAGGCGGCCGACUGGUCCGGUUCUGACGCUGAGGCGCGAAAGCGUGGGGAGCAAACAGG